CUUUUCUUUCAUUGUCAAUUUGCACAAUUGUGCUGGAGCUACAUUUGCACCAACUGGCUACCGGCACAUACAGGCAUUCAGGAGAAAAUUAGCAACCUAAAGCAACUGCUGAGCGUACCAUAUGCGAUGGAGAUUAUCAUCCUAUCCUGUUGGGCAAUCUGGCAAUCUAGGAAUGAUUACAUAUUCCAACAUAUACAGCCAAGUAUAUACUGAUGCAGAAAGAAGCUAAAAGAAGAACUCAAAUGGAGCACCUACAGAGUCAAGAGGAAGGAAUACACUGGAUUUGACACUUGGAUCAAAUCCUUUAGAUAA
rnacentral:rRNA from 1 species